UACCAGCACCCCGAGUGGUCGGGACGUUUAUUGGGCCUAAAGCAUCCGUAGCCGGUUCUACAAGUCUUCCGUUAAAUCCACCUGCUUAACAGAUGGCUGCGGAAGAUACUAUAGAGCUAGGAGGCGGGAGAGGCAAGCGGUACUCGAUGGGUAGGGGUAAAAUCCGUUGAUCCAUUGAAGACCACCAGUGGCGAAGGCGGCUUGCCAGAACGCGCUCGACGGUGAGGGAUGAAGCUGGGGAGCAAACCGG
rnacentral:rRNA from 1 species